rnacentral:rRNA from 1 species
AUUGAACGCUGGCGGCAUGCCUUACACAUGCAAGUCGAACGGCAGCACGGGAGCAAUCCUGGUGGCGAGUGGCGAACGAGUGAGUAAAGUAUCGGAACGUGCCCAGUCGUGGGGGAUAACGUAGCGAAAGUUACGCUAAUACCGCAUACGAUCUAUGGAUGAAAGCGGGGGAUCGCAAGACCUCGCGCGAUUGGAGCGGCCGAUAUCAGAUUAGGUAGUUGGUGGGGUAAAGGCCCACCAAGCCGACGAUCUGUAGCUGGUCUGAGGGGACGACCAGCCACACUGGGACUGAGACACGGCCCAGACUCCUACGGGAGGCAGCAGUGGGGAACUUUGGACAAUGGGCGAAAGCCUGAUCCAGCCAUGCCGCGUGCAGGAUGAAGGCCUUCGGGUUGUAAACUGCUUUUGUACGGAACGAAAAGGACUGCCCUAAUACGGUGGUCCCAUGACGGUACCGUAAGAAUAAGCACCGGCUAACUACGUGCCAGCCGCCGCGGUAA